rnacentral:piRNA from 1 species
UUCAGCUAACACAGGGAAACACUGGU